ensembl:lncRNA
CUUCCGUCGUCAUGCCCGUGCGUUCCCCUGUGCUAAUGUAAAUCCACCUUCGCUAAUAACCCACACACACGCUGCUAAACUGGAUUUAUAGGCUAGCUUCAAACACCCGUCCUUAAAACCUUUUCACAUAUUAUGAAUGAACGCCAUUUCUCCUAUAGCCUUUUAGAAUCCCUUUCUCUAAAGAAACCCACAUUGAAAUGAUUCUCAUGGCUGGAUCAGGAAGCUGUUGCAUGGUUGUGAUGUACUUUAACAGGAAACGUGGGUUACAGUGGAUCCUGUGCCAGUAACACUGGGGUCAAGGCAGGAGAAUUUAUCUUGGAUGGCCUCACAGUCCACCGCAGGGCACCACACUCAUUCACACUUGGGUCAAUCAGCCAAUCUGCCUACCUGCAUAUUUUUGGACAGUGGGAGGAAACAAGAGAACCUGGAGAAAACCCACAUAGACACAGGGAGAACAUAGGAAACAAAAAGUCACACAAACUCAGGACCAGACAGGGCAACAAAAGGCUGGAAAAGUAAGCGUUCCUAAAAAGAAACAGCUGGUGGAAGAUUUUUCAAAUAAUUGGGUUGAUUGGCAACAGGCCAGUAACAUGAUUGGGCAUAAAAAGAGUAUCUUAGAGAGACAGAGUCUUUCAGAAGUAAAGAUGGGCAGAAGUUAACCAAUGUGCAAAAAACUAAAAAUUGUGGAACAAUUUCAGAAUAAUGUUCAUUAACAUAAAUCUCAUCAUCUAGUACAUAAUAUCUUCAAAAGAUUCAGAGAAUUUGGAGAAAUCUCUGUGCGCAAGGGACAAGGGUUAAAAUCAAUACUGCAUGCCCGUGAUCUUCGGGCUCUCAGGUGGCACUGCAUUAAAACCAGGCAUGAUUCUGUAAUGGAAAUCGCUGCAUGGGCUCAGAAACACCUCCAGAACUCAUUGUCUGUGAACACAGUUCGCCGUGCCCCAUCCACAAAUGCCGGUUAAAGCUCUAUCAUGCAAAGAAGCCAUAUGUGAACAUGAUCCAGAAACACCACAGUCUUCUCUGUGCCAAAGCUCAUUUAAAAUGGACUGGGGCAAAGAGGAAAACUGUUCUCUGAUUAGACGACUCAAAAAUUUAAAUUCUUUUUGGAAAUCAUGGACGCGGCCUCUAAACUAAAGAGGACUAAAGAGGAGAGGGACCAUCCGGCUUUUGAUCAGCUUUCAGUUCAAAAAUCUGCAUCUCUGAUGGUAUGGGGUACAUUAAUGCCUAUGGAAUGGACAGCUUGCACAUCUGGAAAGGUGCCAUCAUUGCUGAAAGGUAUGUACAGGUUUUAGAGUAACAUCCAGAUUCCCAUUUUUACUUCUGAAAGAUUCUGCCUUUUUAUACCCAAUCAUGUUACUGUUGCCAUUUAACCUAAUUAGUUGCAAAAUGUUCCUCCAGCUGUUCUUUUCUGGCAUCAGUUACCUUUCCCGCCUUUUGUUGCCUCGUCCCAACUUUUUUUUGAGACGUAUUUCAGCCAUCAUAUCAAAAUUACCUUAUUGUUUCCUCAGUUUAAACAUUUGAUAUGUUUUCUAUGUUCUAUUGUGAAUAAAAU